GACGAACGCUGGCGGCGUGCUUAAUACAUGCAAGUCGAACGGAAAGGCCCUGCUUUUGCGGCGUGCUCGAUUGCCGAACGGGUGAGUAUCACGUGAGUAACCUGCCCUUGACUUUGUGAUAUCUUCACGAAACUCGGGCUCAUACCGGAUAUGAUCUCCUGCUCCAUGUUGGUGAUUGGUAAGUUUCGGCUGUUGGGUAUGGACUAGAGGGUUAUCCGCUUGUUGGUCUGGUAGUGGAUUUCCAAGGCUUUGACGGGUAGCCGGCCUGAGAGGCUGACCGGCCACAUUGGGACUGCGAUACGGAGCAGACUCGUACGGGAGGCAGCAGGGGGGAAUAUUGCACAGUGGGCGGGAGCGUGAUGCGGCAAUGUCGCGUGCGGGAUGAUGGCUUUCGGGGUGUAAACCGCUUUGGAAUGUGACGAAGAGUGAGUGACGGUAAUGGGUAAGGAAGCAACGGCUAACUACGUG
rnacentral:rRNA from 1 species